UACAAGUUAAUAUUUCUAUUUGCUUUAAAUCCAGCAUUUCUAAUCCCCUAUGAAGCCUUUUCUCCCCCUCAGCCAUUCUUACUGCACAAGCAGGAGGUUACAUGAGACUGAGGAACUCUUCUAAUGAUAUCCCUGUUUCAUGGAUUGUUGUAUCCAAAUAAUUCAUCAUUAAAUGACUAGCCUGCUUGUGAUAAGCCUUUCUGGGCUUAGGCUAUACUGGUCCACAGAAAGGGGAUACCAUCUAACCUUGGGACCAUACUCCCCUUUCUCACCUGUCAAAGUUUGCCCUCCACUGACCUAGUCUUUCUUUUUCUUUUUAUUUUUUUAUAUCCUUUACUUUCUGUCUUAAUAUCAUCUCUAAGACAGAAAAAUGGCAAAGGACUAAAGCAACUGGAGUUAAGUGUCCCAUAGCUAGGAAAUAUCUGCUGAAGUCAGAUUUGAACCCAGGUCCUCCCAAUUCCAGGUCUGGUGCUUUAUCCACGGGGCUACCUAGCUGCCCCCAGUAGCCUAAUCUUUAAGAACUUAAAGAACAUAAGAAUAUGUGUUUGCCAGAUUGAAAUUUAUUUUCCCCAAAGCACAUGGGAGAGAUGAGUUUCUUAGAGAUUGGAGUGGUAUGAGUGGAGUUCCACUCUGGAAAGGUACCUUUCCACUGUGAUAAAGCUAAAUGUCUUCAGCUGGUUCCUUUUGGUGCCUGGAUGCUGCAAGGUUAUCAGAGCUACUUAAUACCAAUAUUGACUUUUUCACAACAAUCGUUUUGUCCUUCCGAGCCGUAUGCUCUCCACCUGAAAAAUAGGAAUAAUGGUAACAUAUGCACGACUGACCUCACAGGCUCAAAAUUGGAGGAUAAGUAAUAAACAAAGUGCUCUAUGAUAUAUUAUUAUUCUUACAAACAAUAAUAACAGUUCUUCAUGCUUCUGAAGGCAUAAGCUAUUCCCUUUGGAAAUUAAUAGCUACUCCAGAGUCCACCCAGAUGUAGGAUUUGGGAAACAUUUGACUGAAGGUUACCAGCAUCGGUUCUCUAGGUGACUUUAAAUUCCCAGGGUUCCCUCUAUUGAUCCCAGAAGGAAGCCAGAAAGUCCAAAUAGAACCCUACGUAUCUUGGCAAACACUUUACCAACCAAACCUAGACUUAAGGCUAAAUUUAAAAAUAAAAAUAAAAAGUAAGUCCUCUGGCUCUCCCCA
rnacentral:lncRNA from 1 species